CAGCCGCCGCGGGAAUACGAAGGGGGCUAGCGUUGCUCGGAAUGACUGGGCGUAAAGCGUGCGCAGGCGGUUUGUUAAGUCUGCUGUGAAAUCCCCGGGCUCAACCUGGGAAUGGCAGUGGAUACUGGCAAGCUAGAGUGUGUCAGAGGAUGGUGGAAUUCCCGGUGUAGCGGUGAAAUGCGUAGAGAUCGGGAGGAACAUCAGUGGCGAAGGCGGCCAUCUGGGACAACACUGACGCUGAGGCACGAAAGCGUGGGGAGCAAACAGGAUUAGAUACCCCUGUAGUCCCUGUCUCUUAUAC
rnacentral:rRNA from 1 species